rnacentral:rRNA from 1 species
CAAUAGCGUAUAUUAAAGUUGUUGCAGUUAAAAAGCUCGUAGUUGGAUUUCUGGUGGGAGCGAUCGGUCUGGCGCUUAGCGCGAGUACUUGCAUCGUCUCCGGCCAUCCUUGGGGAGAGUCUGUCUGGCAUUAGGUUGUCGGGCAGAGGAUCCUCAUCGUUUACUGUGAAAAAAUUAGAGUGUUCAAAGCAGGCUUAUGCCGUUGAAUAUAUUAGCAUGGAAUAAUAAGAUAGGACUUUGGUACUAUUUUGUUGGUUUGCGCACCAAAGUAAUGAUUAAUAGGGACAGUUGGGGGUAUUCGUAUUCCGUUGUCAGAGGUGAAAUUCUUGGAUUUACGGAAGGCGAACUACUGCGAAAGCAUUUACCAAGGAUGUUUUCAUUAA